GACAGAGGGUGCAAACGUUGCUCGGAAUUACUGGGCGUAAAGCGCGUGUAGGUGGUCACGCAAGUCAGGUGUGAAAGCCCAGGGCCUGCAACCCUGGAAGUGCACAUGAUACUACGUGGCUGGAGUACUGAAGAGGAGAGCGGAAUUCCCGGUGUAGAGGUGAAAUUCGUAGAUAUCGGGAGGAACACCAGUGGCGAAGGCGGCUCACUGGACGCGUAUUGACGCUGAGGUGCGAAAGCGUGGGGAGCAAACAGG
rnacentral:rRNA from 1 species